UACGGAGGAUCCGAGCGUUAUCCGGAUUUAUUGGGUUUAAAGGGUGCGUAGGCGGCCUAUUAAGUCAGGGGUGAAAGACGGUAGCUUAACUAUCGCAGUGCCUUUGAUACUGAUGGGCUUGAAUAUACUUGAGGUAGGCGGAAUGUGACAAGUAGCGGUGAAAUGCAUAGAUAUGUCACAGAACACCAAUUGCGAAGGCAGCUUACUAAAGUAUGAUUGACGCUGAGGCACGAAAGCGUGGGGAUCAAACAGG
rnacentral:rRNA from 1 species